rnacentral:rRNA from 1 species
AUGCCACUUUCGGACAAGAGGCUCAAGAGAAUUUUCUUCCAAGGUUUGCUUGAUAAGAUUGCCAAGAAGUUAGCCGCAUGGAAAGCUCGAUGGAUUACUUUGGCUGGUCGUACUGUUCUGGUCAGAUUCGUGCUCUCUGCAAUGCCUAUUUUUCAACUUAUUGCCGUUGAGCAGCCAAAAUGGUUUAUUAAACAAAUCGACAAGAUGAGAAGGGCCUUUCUUUGGGCCGGGUCAGAUGCAGUUAGUGGUGGAAAAUGCUUGAUCAAAUGGUCUCAAGUUUGCGCUCCUCUUGAGCUUGGUGGGCUAGGUAUACCUGAUCUGAUUUGUCAAGGAAGGGCACUGAAAGUUAGGUGGCUCUGGCAGAACGCCACUGACGGUGAUAAAUCUUGGCAUGGGUUAACACUG